GAAUUGCGAUAAGUAAUGUGAAUUGCAUAAUUCUGUGAAUCAUUAAAUGUUUGAACGCACCUUGCGCUCUUCUGUUACGGAAGAGCAUGUGUGUUUGAGGGUGGCGCGUGUGUGCGUGUGCAAAUAACUAUGUAUUUGCAUGUGCGAGAUGCGGCGUCGCUUUGUUAUGAGGCGUGCCGUGAAAUGGACUGCUCGGCGUGUGCGUGUGCGUGAGUGAGCAGCAUGGCCAUUGCGUGUGCGUGUGUGUGCAGGGGGGCAUGUGAUUACGUGUUCUUUCUGUGUUCACGGACUGUGAUGCGUGCAAUCUUGCUGGAUGCGGCAUGGCGAGCAAAGGCGGGGCGUGCACUACGUGCAACAACCCACUUUAAGAAACCACCUCAAAUCACACAGGAUCACCCGC
rnacentral:misc_RNA from 1 species